rnacentral:rRNA from 1 species
UGGGGAAACCUGAUCAGCAUGCCGCGUGGGUGAAGAAGGCCUGCGGGUUGUAAAGCCCUUUUGGUAGGGAAGAAAAGCUGGGAAUAAUACUCCUGGGUGUUGACGUAACCUACAGAAGAAGCACCGGCUAACUCUGUGCCAGCAGCCGCGGUAAUACAGAGGGUGCAAGCGUUAAUCGGAAUUACUGGGCGUAAAGCGUGCGUAGGUGGCUGUUUAAGUCGGAUGUGAAAUCCCUGGGCUCAACCUAGGAACUGCAUUCGAUACUGAACGGCUGGAGUACGGUAGAGGAUAGCGGAAUUCCCGGUGUAGCAGUGAGAUGCGUAGAUAUCGGGAGGAACACCAGUGGCGAAGGCGGCUAUCUGGACUGAUACUGACACUAAGGCACGAAAGCGUGGGGAGCAAACAGGAUUAGAUACCCUGGUAGUCCACGCCCUAAACGAUGAGAACUAGCUGUUGGGGGAGAGAAGUCCUCAAGUAGCGAAGCUAACGCGUUAAGUUCUCCGCCUGGGGAGUACGGCCGCAAGGUUAAAACUCAAAUGAAUUGACGGGGGCCCGCACAAGCGGUGGAGCAUGUGGUUUAAUUCGAUGCAACGCGAAGAACC